CAAGCGGAAUAAACAGGAGCAGCUGUCUGGAUGCUGGUCAUAUGAUGCGCCGUUUUCACUGUCUCUGCAGAAAUUGAGGAUUUAUCAGCGCUUUUAUUUUCACUGUCACUAAAAAAGACGAUCGAUUUAAAAACAAUCAAGUAUAGAAGGGUUGUUUUAUUCAUCUGGAAAAACAGGAACAAAGACUGCAGCGUUGCUGGGACAGUAUCGAGAGAGGAUCCGGACUGAACCGGACAGAGUCGUGGAUUUCUGGCUGAAAUAUUCCCAUGACGAAGAACACAGGUCACGCUCUGGAGGCUGGCUGCUGGUUCCUGCUGCAGUACGUGCUGAAAAAAAAGAAAACUUGCAGCUGCAGAAGACAGCAGUGGAUAAGUUCAUGAAGAUCCCGUUCCACACCGGAUGGGACAAACAACAUGGUGGCCUUUUCUACUUCCUGGAUGUAGACGGUCAUUGUCCGACUCAGUUAAGAGUGGAGUAUGAAGUUGUGGUGGCCUCACUGAAGCUCUGAUCGUCUUCCUGAUGGCCUACAGUCACAGAGAAGAGCCUCAGCUGCUGGACCGCUUCAAGCUGAUCUAUGACCACACCUUCAGCCAUGAUUUCAUCCGGAGUAAUCACAGGUUCUUCCAUGUUCCUCUGUGUCUCUGCAUGUGUGAGAAGCUUCUGGACGGUCUUCUUGAAAGGCAGGAUUCUUGAACUUGCCAAGACCAAGAUGUGACAAAGUGAAACAGAUGCUCCUGUAACUGAUCAGUUUGCACAAAAUGCAAUCGUUAUACAUUUUUAAUCACACAGUUUUCACUAUUCUAAUUAGACCCUAAUUUCAGUAUCACACUCACACUUAUAUUCAUUUUUUUUUUAAGUCAUUUGUUUAUCAUUUAAAAUGAAAAAGGGACUACAUAGAUUGUCUUUUUGUUUUUUUUAGAUUUAAAUAUUUCUAGCCAUGUACUAUGUUUGAUAGCUGAUUUGUCUUGGAAACCUUUUAUUUCCAAGACAAUAUAUUUUUUUACUUUACUAUGAUACUUUUUCCUUUAGUUGAUUGUUUUUGUAGAUCUCACCGUGUGAAUGAGUGUCCUACCCAAACACAGGCACACUGUUAAAAGGACUUCUGAAAUUCCUAAACACCCUUCUUAAAAAAACACUUCAGAUAAGCUGAGUUUAUAAUAACUGGCUAAAUAAUGAAACGGAUUCCUAAAACAAGUCUAAACUUUUAUUUUCUAACAAGAGUGAAAAGAAACAAAGGCAACAUUGAAAUGAAAACGUUUAUACACAAACUCACGACCAAUGCGUGUCUGGAAUAGCAAUACCAAUAAUAAUAAUAAUAGAAUAAUAAUAGAAUUAUUAGAACCCCAGCGUCAAAAGAUGGAGAUAAAGGGCGUUAAAGAGAUUUUGUACAGUUCUGUGAAGAGGACGAAGGGUAGAGAGCAGGUCGCUUUAAAGAGAGGACAGAAUCACUGAAAGGAAAUGACAAUGAAGACAGCAAAACUCAGAGGAAGUGGAAAAGAGAGAAAGGACUAUGCAUCUUAGGAAAGUAGCACCAGAACAUAAAUGCCUUUGAUUUUCCAUCACACUUUCAAAAUAUUAUACUAGUUUAUUCACAAUGUUGAAUCUCCCUGACAAAAUGUCAGACUCAGUACAAAAAGAAUACGGGUUUCAUUAUGGCAGCGAUGCCAGUCUCCUGCUAGACGCCCCUUCUGCCUGUCAUCAAGUGUGUCUGUGUGAAUACCUGGACGAGUCGCAUAAUGCAGCAGACCACAUUUGUGUUAAGAACAGUUUGGUACAUCUACAUUGUGGAGAGAGACAGUUAAACCACAGGGCAGAGCCAGAGAUCUGCAGCCUGCGCCAGUGAACCGUUCAGGACCAGGGGUGAGAACAGAGGCAAAGGGGAAGAAAAAGUGCAGUGGUUAGUACGGGGCGGAGCAUCCACUUGAUGGGUUGAAAGAAAAAAAAAAAGAUUGUGAGCUUAUUAUGUGAGGAAACGAGCCCCGAGGCCUGCGUUUUCUGUCUCUGUGUUUCUCCUAUCAUUCACAUCAUCUGCACCUCCACAGCUUCAGGAAAUCAUCAAAAUAUCUGAAAGAGAACAACAAGUGUGUUUGUUUCUGAUCAUAGGCAUUUGAUGGUUAAAAAUAAAAUGUGUUUGAGACCAG